GAUGAACGCUGGCGGCGUGCCUAAUACAUGCAAGUCGAGCGAACAGACGAGGAGCUUGCUCCUCUGACGUUAGCGGCGGACGGGUGAGUAACACGUGGAUAACCUACCUAUAAGACUGGGAUAACUUCGGGAAACCGGAGCUAAUACCGGAUAAUAUAUUGAACCGCAUGGUUCAAUAGUGAAAGACGGUUUUGCUGUCACUUAUAGAUGGAUCCGCGCCGCAUUAGCUAGUUGGUAAGGUAACGGCUUACCAAGGCAACGAUGCGUAGCCGACCUGAGAGGGUGAUCGGCCACACUGGAACUGAGACACGGUCCAGACUCCUACGGGAGGCAGCAGUAGGGAAUCUUCCGCAAUGGGCGAAAGCCUGACGCAGCAACGCCGCGUGGGUGAUGAAGGUCUUCGGAUCGUAAAACUCUGUUAUUAGGGAAGAACAAAUGUGUAAGUAACUAUGCUCGUCUUGACGGUACCUAAUCAGAAAGCCACGGCUAACUACGUG
rnacentral:rRNA from 1 species